AUUGAACGCUGGCGGCAGGCCUAACACAUGCAAGUCGAGCGGAUGAAGGGAGCUUGCUCCUGGAUUCAGCGGCGGACGGGUGAGUAAUGCCUAGGAAUCUGCCUGGUAGUGGGGGAUAACGUCCGGAAACGGGCCCUAUUCCCCCUUCCUCCCUGGGGGGGAAGUGGGGGGUCUUCGGACCUCCCGCCAUUCAAUGAACCUAGGUCGGAUUAGCUAGUUGGUGGGGUAAAGGCCUACCAAGGCGACGAUCCGUAACUGGUCUGAGAGGAUGAUCAGUCACACUGGAACUGAGACACGGUCCAGACUCCUACGGGAGGCAGCAGUGGGGAAUAUUGGACAAUGGGCGAAAGCCUGAUCCAGCCAUGCCGCGUGUGUGAAGAAGGUCUUCGGAUUGUAAAGCACUUUAAGUUGGGAGGAAGGGCAGUAAGUUAAUACCUUGCUGUUUUGACGUUACCAACAGAAUAAGCACCGGCUAACUUCGUG
rnacentral:rRNA from 1 species